UUGCCCAUUUAAGACGAUUUGUGUCCUAAAUGACCAACACGGGGGUAGAGGAAUUCUCUCAAAAACCUGGAGUAAAGGCUGAACAUUCCUUGCUUCGGAUCCUGUCGGGAGAAACAAAU